UUCUGUCUAUAUAUCAUUGUAGGUAUUUCCGGUGUUGACUUGAAGCGUUUUUAUUCACGGUGUUGCGGAUUCAUCAUUGCAUUUACAUGGGGUAGUGCAUAUGUUGUGUGUGGCCUUCUAAACGAUAAAUCUAUGGAUUAAAGGAUGAACAGGUCGAUGCAGGAAUAUUCAUUCUAAUGAUAAGGAAAUACGAAAUGCAAGGACAACCUCCAAGCAUGCAGCAUGCCUUAGAUAUAUACAAUGGUGGAAUGUUCCAUUAUAUGGUGGCGCCCAGUUUUUAUUGGUGGAAGAGAGAACCCAGAUACAAUGUACCUGGGAAGAGACCAUCAACCUUCCGAAAGUAAACUGGGAAACUUUCUCACUUAACGGCAUGAGUGGGAUUGGAACCCUCGCCAACAGAGAACUAGAUGAGCAGAAGAUGCAUUCCAUGACUGACUCCCCAUAUGAUAUGAAAGAGAGCCCAUGAGAAUGGAACCAACUUUCAGUGUUACAAUGGAUGAACACUCCUCCUGUCACAAGUCCAUCUUGAUUCAGUAAAGUGGUAGUCUAUUUAUCUAGGAAGCAACAAGACGGAUCUGGACAAGGACCAUAUUGACUCAAGUUUUGGUGUCAGAAGACCAUUUUGAUUAAAUAUGUUAAAAGCACCACAGAAGUAAGAAGCUAGGAUACCAGUUUUAUAAACUAAAGAGUCGAAAGGCCCAGCUGGAGAGAAAUUCCCAUUUCUCGACCAAGGACAAAAAAAAAAAAAUUAAAAAGGUGCUGACUAAGGAGGCAACGUCUAGGAAGCCACCCAGAGGAAGGUCUUACCAUUUAUAUGGGAGUCAUCCCUGCUGCGUAAUGUUAAGUGCGACCUGGACAGAGAGUAUGCUGAAUCUUUGCAACUUCAAUCAAAUAGACAAAAAGCCAAGGCCACUAGAAGUAGAACGGAAAUGACUAUGACCCCACCACCUAGGAGCAUUCAAGAGUGGGUCGUUUCCUCUACUUAUAAAUGAUGCUAUUACUGAUAAUAGUUAUAUUUAAUUUCCUCAUUUCUAGCUCACCAAAGGCUCAAGGUCACAAUUAAUACUUUUAUACCAUUAUAACCAGUUUUUAUGAAAUUUUAAUAAUGCUGUUGAAGGAGAAUUGCAAUUUUUUGGGUGUUUAUAAUUGACACUGUUUAAGUAUGUCUAGCAUCUUAAAAAGUGAGAUGACCUAUAUAUUUCAUUUCAUAAUUUAUUAAUUUUAACUUAAAUUGAAAUAAAUGCAUUUUUGAUACUUUUAUCAGAGAAUAUUGCAAGUAUGGAGUUACCUUGAUAUAUUUAUACAGAUUUGUUCUGCUUUAGUACUAGUGUAUCAGUAUUAUUACAUCAAGUUCAUUUGUGUGAAUAUUAUAAUAUUUAAGAAUGAAUAAAACUGUCAAAUUGUG